GAUGAAGAACGGAGCGAAAUGCGAUACGUAAUGUGAAUUGCAGAAUUCAGUGAAUCAUCGAAUCUUUGAACGCAUAUUGCGCUCUCUGGUAUUCCGGAGAGCAUGCUUGUUUGAGUAUCAGUAAACACCUCAACUUCCAUAUCUUUUUUGAAAUGGGAGUUGGACUUGAGUGAUCCCAACGCUUUUCCUCACCGAAAAGUGGCGGGUUACUUGAAAUGCAGGUGCAGCUGGACUUUUCUCUGAGCUAUAAGCAUAUCUAUUUAGUCUGCCUAAAAAACAGAUUAUUACCUUUGCUGCAGCUAACAUAAAGGAGAUUAGUUCUUGUGCUGACUGAUGCAGGAUUCACAAAGACGGCUUCGGCCGACUUUGUAAACUCGAUCUCAAAUCAAGGAAGACUACCCGCUGAACUUAAGCAUAUCAAUAAGCGGAGGA
rnacentral:misc_RNA from 1 species